UACGUAGGUGGCAAGCGUUAUCCGGAAUUACGUGGGCGUAAAGCGCACGCAGGCGGUCUUUUAAGUUUGACGUGAAAGCUCCCGGCUUAACUGGGAGAGGUCGUUGAAGACUGGAAGACUUGAGGCAAUGAGAGGGGUGUAGAAUUCCCGGUGUAGUGGUGGAAUGCGUAGAUAUCGGGGGGAAUACCAGUGGCGAAAGCGGCACCCUAGCGUUAGCCUGACGCUCAUGUGCGAAAGCGUGGGGAGCGAAC
rnacentral:rRNA from 1 species